rnacentral:rRNA from 1 species
UGGGGAAUAUUGGACAAUGGGCGAAAGCCUGAUCCAGCCAUGCCGCGUGUGUGAAGAAGGUCUUCGGAUUGUAAAGCACUUUAAGUUGGGAGGAAGGGCAGUAAGCGAAUACCUUGCUGUUUUGACGUUACCGACAGAAUAAGCACCGGCUAACUCUGUGCCAGCAGCCGCGGUAAUACAGAGGGUGCAAGCGUUAAUCGGAAUUACUGGGCGUAAAGCGCGCGUAGGUGGUUCGUUAAGUUGAAUGUGAAAGCCCCGGGCUCAACCUGGGAACUGCAUCCAAAACUGGCGAGCUAGAGUAGGGCAGAGGGUGGUGGAAUUUACUGUGUAGCGGUGAAAUGCGUAGAUAUAGGAAGGAACACCAGUGGCGAAGGCGACCAGCUGGGCUCAUACUGACACUGAGGUGCGAAAGCGUGGGGAGCAAACAGG